AUUAGAGGAACUCUAGCUAAGAUCGCCGCGUCCUACGGCAACGCCUGAGCGACCAACAUCCUGUAGG
rnacentral:sRNA from 1 species